rnacentral:lncRNA from 1 species
ACAUUGAAGCCGAUAACUCUAUCUCCCUGUAUUUGGCAGUGGAAUAGAUUGAAGACUGCAGAUCUUGCCUUCCUAUAUUUGGCAGCGAAGCAGAUCAAAGAUGGCAGAUUUUACCUCCCUGACUACAGUGGAGUACAUUGAAGCCGAUAACUCUAUCUCCCUGUAUUUGGCAGUGGAAUAGAUUGAAGAUCGAAGAUGGCAGAUUUUACCUCCAUGUGACUACAGUGGAGUACAUUGAAGCCGAUAACUCUAUCUCCCUGUAUUUGGCAGUGGAAUAGAUUGAAGAUUGCAGAUCUUGCCUUCCUGUAUUUGGCAGCAAAGCAGAUCAAAGAUGGCAGAUUUUACCUCCCUGACUACAGUGGAGUACAUUGAAGCCGAUAACUCUAUCUCCCUAUAUUUGGCAGUGGAAUAGAUUGAAGAUCAAAGAUGGCAGAUUUUACCUCCAUGUGACUACAGUGGAGUACAUUGCAGCCGAUAACUCUAUCUCCCUGUAUUUGGCAGUGGAAUAGAUUGAAGAUUGCAGAUCUUGCCUUCCUGUAUUUGGCAGCAAAGCAGAUCAAAGAUGGCAGAUUUUACCUCCCUGACUACAGUGGAGUACAUUGAAGCCGAUAACUCUAUCUCCCUGUAUUUGGCAGUGGAAUAGAUUGAAGAUUGCAGAUCUUGCCUUCCUGUAUUUGGCAGCGAAGCAGAUCAAAGAUGGCUGAUUUUACCUCCCUGACUACAGUGGAGUACAUUGAAGCCGAUAACUCUAUCUCCCUGUAUUUGGCAGUGGAAUAG